CCGGGGGGGGGUGCUUACCAUGCAAGUCGAACGGUGAAGCAGAGCUUGCUCUGUGGAUCAGUGGCGAACGGGUGAGUAACACGUGAGCAACCUGCCCCGGACUCUGGGAUAAGCGCUGGAAACGGCGUCUAAUACCGGAUACGAGACAAGACGGCAUCGUCAUUGUCUGGAAAGAUUUUUUGGUCUGGGAUGGGCUCGCGGCCUAUCAGCUUGUUGGUGAGGUAAUGGCUCACCAAGGCGUCGACGGGUAGCCGGCCUGAGAGGGUGACCGGCCACACUGGGACUGAGACACGGCCCAGACUCCUACGGGAGGCAGCAGUGGGGAAUAUUGCACAAUGGGCGAAAGCCUGAUGCAGCAACGCCGCGUGAGGGAUGACGGCCUUCGGGUUGUAAACCUCUUUUAGCAGGGAAGAAGCGAAAGUGACGGUACCUGCAGAAAAAGCGCCGGCUAACUACGUGCCAGCAGCCGCGGUAAUACGUAGGGCGCAAGCGUUAUCCGGAAUUAUUGGGCGUAAAGAGCUCGUAGGCGGUUUGUCGCGUCUGCUGUGAAAUCCCGAGGCUCAACCUCGGGCCUGCAGUGGGUACGGGCAGACUAGAGUGCGGUAGGGGAGAUUGGAAUUCCUGGUGUAGCGGUGGAAUGCGCAGAUAUCAGGAGGAACACCGAUGGCGAAGGCAGAUCUCUGGGCCGUAACUGACGCUGAGGAGCGAAAGGGUGGGGAGCAAACAGGCUUAGAUACCCUGGUAGUCCACCCCGUAAACGUUGGGAACUAGUUGUGGGGUCCAUUCCACGGAUUCCGUGACGCAGCUAACGCAUUAAGUUCCCCGCCUGGGGAGUACGGCCGCAAGGCUAAAACUCAAAGGAAUUGACGGGGACCCGCACAAGCGGCGGAGCAUGCGGAUUAAUUCGAUGCAACGCGAAGAACCUUACCAAGGCUUGACAUAUACGAGAACACUUCAGAAAUGAAGGACUCUUUGGACACUCGUAUACAGGUGGUGCAUG
rnacentral:rRNA from 1 species